rnacentral:rRNA from 1 species
AUUGAACGCUGGCGGCAGGCCUAACACAUGCAAGUCGAACGGUAACAGGAAGAAGCUUGCUUCUUUGCUGACGAGUGGCGGACGGGUGAGUAAUGUCUGGGAAACUGCCUGAUGGAGGGGGAUAACUACUGGAAACGGUAGCUAAUACCGCAUAACGUCGCAAGACCAAAGAGGGGGACCUUCGGGCCUCUUGCCAUCGGAUGUGCCCAGAUGGGAUUAGCUUGUUGGUGGGGUAACGGCUCACCAAGGCGACGAUCCCUAGCUGGUCUGAGAGGAUGACCAGCCACACUGGAACUGAGACACGGUCCAGACUCCUACGGGAGGCAGCAGUGGGGAAUAUUGCACAAUGGGCGCAAGCCUGAUGCAGCCAUGCCGCGUGUAUGAAGAAGGCCUUCGGGUUGUAAAGUACUUUCAGCGGGGAGGAAGGGAGUAAAGUUAAUACCUUUGCUCAUUGACGUUACCCUCAGAAGAAGCACCGGCUAACUCCGUG